rnacentral:misc_RNA from 1 species
GGAAUUGGGUAUCCUACCUGAUCCGAGGUCACCUUUAAAAAUUUGGGGGUUUAGCGGCUGGAGCACGCCGGGACGAUCCGAACGAGGUUCGCGUUUUACCGCGUUUUACUGCGCUCAGUGUACCGACGAGCCCGCCGAUGAACUUGGGGGCCCCCGAAGGCGCUCUGCUUCGAUCCCCCCCCCGCCCGAAGGCCCCCUCCUCGACUGGGAUUCCCCCACCCCCGCGCUCGACUCGGUCAAGGCCGACGUCCGCGAGAUCCACGUGCUCCUCAAUCACGCACCCAUCACACCCGACCUCGCGUCCCGCAAGAUCACCCGCAACCCCCCCCACCCAACCACCCCCACCAACCUUACAACCCUCCUCAACGUCACCACGCAGGUCAUCCACGGCAUGGACCACCCCCGCUGGGGCCUCAUCAUCGACCUCUCCUCGGUCAACGGCCAGAACGUCCGCCCCACCCAGACCAACUACUCCACCUCCAUCGCGAUCACUCACAGCUACACCACGGAGAGAUCAUUACUGAGUUGAAAAACUCCACCCCUGGUGAACUAACCUCUGUCGUUGCUUCGGCGG